CGUCAAAUUGGUCCCGCCUCCCAGCACCCCCAGGCUCCAGAGCUGCACUGCGGCUGCGCGGGGUUUGGAGUUGGCGCUGCAGCUCCGCCCUGCCCCGAGGUUCGAUGCUCUUGUGAAGUACCGCAGUGAUUGUGCUGUGACCGGCCGGCCUCUUGUCUACGGAGUGGAUUUUAAGCGUGAACACCCAGUUAACUGUCAGAAACUCCGGUCUAGUGGCUGACCCAUUCUAGAACCAGAGUCGGGGUACAUUCCCACUCGGAGACUCGGAAUUUGCACAGCGGAGUGAAUAAUGCGUCUUUCAUCGUUUGGAUGAAAACAAGUAUGAAAAGGAGUUCAGACUCUCAGACUCUAUGAACAGGACAGUGUAUUUUAAUUUGCAGAAAAUUCAGUCAAAAAGUCUAUUGCUGCCCGCAACUGAAAAGGAGCUUCUAAGGCGCCUAGAAAAAUACGCUACAUUCUAGAUGUCCUGGUUACGAGAACUGACGCCAAGAAUUGCUUGGUGGAAGCAAGAGGGGCCUUCAUGGAAGCUGCUGCUGCAGCUGCAAGGGAUGUCCUAAGGAGCCUAAAGCUCAGCCUUCAUAUUGAUUCCACUCCCGGCUAUGUAGCUGGGGUCAGGGGUGGGGGUGGGGUCGCUCUAACAAGGCGGUGUACAGCUCCAUUAUUAUUUUGCCAUUCCUGAAAUAUAAAGUGCAUAUGGAUUCAUAAUUUCUUUGGGUUUUCAUGAUAUUUAUGUUUGCUAAUAAGAAGAAAGACUUUUGAGUUUGUAAAUGUUGGCAAAUUGCCAUUUUAAAUAUUAGAUGAUUAUUGUAUUCAGCAUGUCUAUGGAAAAGAACCAUCGAGAAAUCAGAUGCCACUAUGAGUACUAUUGGUCAGGGAACUUGAGAAACAGCUUGUUGGGAUAUAGAAUCACCUAGACCCACAUAUGGAUGUGUCUGUGCAGGAGUGUGCACUGUGAACUCUAGUGCACAUGAGCACGAACACCGCACACGCACACGUUUUAAAAAGAAGCCAUUUUAAAAGGGCAAUGUAAGUCGUCUAAUGUUGAAAGUAUUUCAGUUUUUAUCAAUAUUGUUUGUUGAUAUUUCCUUGUUUUUACUUUAUCUUCGGCAUGUAGGGUAUUAUGGUCAAACAUGAAUUUGUCCACUUUGUUAUAAUUGUGUAUGGUCAACUCUUUGUAAAGUGUUAGGGAAAGAGAGUUUCUUCCACAUCGAAACGAGUCUGUAUCUCAGAGAACUAUUUUCACUCUAAUGCAUAAUUGAGAAGAAAGCUCUCCUGAUUAGCCAUCUCUCACUCUUCCUGUGUGACAGUGACUUACUUUCAGGCAAGCAAGGAGAAGGAGGAAAGAAAAAAAUCCUCCGCAGGAGGUGCUCCUGGCUGCAGUGCCCCCUCUGCUGUCAAUCAGUCAGGGAACCAUCUGUCCCAUUUUAGAUUUCUGGAGCCACCAAGCACAUCUGCUGUGUCUUCUCUAACGUCACGUGUAGAACCUACUGGAAGCUGUGAAAUGAACGAGGAGAACCAGAGUCAUCUGCACGAAGCUGAAGCUGGGUCCGUCUCAGUUCAGGGGGAGAAACUGAGACUAGAACCACCAAGUGAAUGGUUCCUGUCGUAACUCUAAG